rnacentral:rRNA from 1 species
AAUCAACGCUGGCGGCGUGCCUAACACAUGCAAGUCGAACGCGAAAGUCCCGCAAGGGAUCAGUAGAGUGGCAAACGGGUGAGUAACGCGUGGGUGACCUGCCUUCGAGCGGGGGAUAACGUUCCGAAAGGGACGCUAAUACCGCAUGACAUCCUGUCUUUUAAGAGAUGGCGAUCAAAGCGGCGUCGCAAGACGUCGCACUCGAAGAGGGGCCCGCGUCCGAUUAGCUAGUUGGUGAGGUAACGGCCCACCAAGGCGACGAUCGGUAGC